CUCCGGUUGAUCCUGCCGGACCUGACUGCUAUCGGAACGGGAUUAAGCCAUGCGAGUUUGCCAAUCAGAGCAUGUUGGUUGGCGGCGAACGGCUCAGUAACACGUAGUCAACCUGCCCUUGGGCCGAGAAUAAUCUCGGGAAACUGAGGCUAAUGAACGAUAGGUCAAGACUCCUGGAAUGGGUUUUGGUCUAAAUGGCGUGACAGCAUCUUGUCAUGUCCGCCCAAGGAUGGGACUGCGGCCUAUCAGCUUGUUGGUGAGGUAAUGGCCCACCAAGGCUAUAACCGGUACGGGCUCUGAGAGAAGAAGCCCGGAGAUGGACACUGAGACACGGACCCAGGUCCUAUGGGGCGCAGCAGGCGAGAAACCUUAGCAAUGUGCGAAAGCGCGACGAGGUUAAUCCGAGUGAUUCCUGUUGAAGGAAUCUUUUGUCAGUUGUAAAACCUCUGGGGAAUAAGGGGAGGGCAAGUCUGGUGUCAGCCGCCGCGGUAAUACCAGCUCCUCGAGUGGUCAGGAGGUUUAUUGGGCCUAAAGCAUCCGUAGCCGGCUUGGCAAGUCUCCGGUUAAAUCCAGCUGCUCAACAGAUGGUCUGCCGGAGAUACUACACAACUAGGGAGCGGGAGAGGCAGACGGUAUUCUGUGGGUAGGGGUAAAAUCCUCUGAUCCAUAGAAGACCACCAGUGGCGAAGGCGGUCUGCCAGAACGCGUUCGACGGUGAGGGAUGAAAGCUGGGGGAGCAAACCGGAUUAGAUACCCGGGUAGUCCCAGCCGUAAACGAUGCUAACUCGGUGAUUCAUUGGCUAAUGGCCAAUGCAGUGUCGCAGGGAAGCCGUUAAGUUAGCCGCCUGGGAAGUACGGUCGCAAGACUGAAACUUAAAGGAAUUGGCGGGGGAGC
rnacentral:rRNA from 1 species